rnacentral:tRNA from 1 species
CGAAAUAUAGCUUAACUAAAGCACCUCGCUUACACCGAGGCAAUGCCCGCUCAAUCCGGCCUAUUCCGA